UACGUAGAGAAACUGUGCGAGACAAGGACAAGGGCGAGGCACCGGUCGCCUUCGCUCACACGGACGCCGCGGUGAUCAGAGGCUGCACACGCCCCCGACGCCGGCCGACCAGGAGUUGCCCCACCUCUGCAUCGUCCCUCUCGGCAACAACGCGACUAGGAUGGACAUCUUCCAACCAUGGCUUGUGCGACGGGGAACAUGAUGUUCAUGUCUUGAUUGUUCCUUCUUCCCUGUUGUUUUCCGUGUGAUGCCUUGUUUGUCUCAGCGGCGCAUCCCCUCAUCCUGCGGAACACUGUAUACCCGUUACAACACGCCGCCGCCUCCCUAGCCAGUCCCGCUUCCCCCUUCCCCCUUCCUAUUGAGCCCCUGUGGUGGUGGUGGUGGUGGAUGAAAACAUCUCACCUGGAGGUUGGAGAGGGAUGAAUUGGAGAGGGAGGUGGGAAGACGGGGAGGAGGAUGUAGCCAACGACGGCAAUGCCGUUGCCCACCCCGCCGCCCAGAGUCAUCACGGCAGCACCCUGCCCUCCCUCCCUCCAAGCGUCACUGCUACCAUGGUGUGCUCUCCCUCUCACCGGUGCUUCUACAGCGAGACCCUAGUCGAACGACGGUUGGCAUCGUUUAUUGCAUGGCCUUGCAGAUCUACCACACUGUGCUCACCCUCAUAGUCAUUCGUCAUACCACCUCACGGAAUCGUGAGUUUGGCCGCCACAAGCACGCUCGUGCCACCGCAAGGUCCGUAAUAAGAUUGCUACCAGGGAGUAGAAGGGAAGAUAGGCAGAUCAUGAGGGUCUCCCACUCCUCCAUCCCCAGUGGCAGAUUAGCAGUGGAAUCGGUGUACACAUGAGAACCAAGGCAUCUCUGACUAUAAAAGUUGAUGAGUUGUAGCUGAAAAUUCCGAAUUCCUUCUCAUUUAGAAUCUUCAGCUUACGCUCUUCUAAUUUGCAACAAUUUUCCUCAUCUAAUGACACUCGAUUUUUCUUGCAUGACUAUUGACUAGGCUGAUAACAUGUUCAUGAUGAAAAGACUUAAGAGCGCAGCGGCACUCCAAGCUUCAGAAGUUUUUUUCCUUUCCUUCCAGUUGUUCCAAUGGGAUGUACUUAGAAGGAUCGAGAGUACAGUGUCACAUGCUGGAAGCAAGUCAUUUGGUAAGAACUGAUUCUUAUUAAGCUCGAUUAAUAUAUAUCAAGUUUAGAAGAAUUUAACUUACAUUCAUCUUAUGAUUGUGUCUGCAAGUUUGAUUCUUUAAUUAAUCUAACUAAUGGCAAGAGAAAGUGAUGUGUGCUAGAGGUGAACGGUUUAACGUCUGCUAUUGCCUAUUGACCACUUCAGUUAACAUAGUGUUGCCUGAAAUAAUUAGAAAACAUUCAGCUGUUUGUAACAUGAGUAGAAUGUGGACUGCUAGGAACUGUGAAUUAAACAGAUCAUGGAGAAUGGAUGGCAUUUUCAUGUAACAGGACUGAGUAUCAGUUUUAGCUUGAAAGUAUAUGCCAACUCUGUAGGUUCAAAUGACUUUAAGUAAUAAUAUGAGGAGCGAGCAUAGGAGGAGCUAUAACAUAUGAGCAUGAGGGAGGAUCAAAUGAUUAUAGUGUCUAUCAGCAUGGGUAAAAGAAAACUGACAACAACGCCACCACGUGCAAAAAUUAUAUUUGAUUGAUAUCACAACAAUAGAAUGUUGAAUAACAAUGUAACAUUAUCUUUUCAUUAGUUAAUCCAUUUGACUUCUGUCUGAUACAAUUGGCAUGAUAUUUGGACAGGAAAGUUAUUUGUUAACUUUGUAUCAUUUUUGUGUAAGCUAAUAAAUAAAUGCACUGUGCAUUUGCCUGCAAUUUCCAAGAAGUUUUCCCUAAUUUUGAAGUAAUUGUUUUCUAAAGAAUAAAUGCUGGGAAAAAGGGUCAUUGCAGUAAUUUUUUCCUGAAGUUUUGUCAUCUUGUAAAAUGAUAUGAAUAGAGGGUUCCCCGUUAAAAAAUAGAAUAGGCGCAGUCAAUAGCUGAAGUGGAAGCAUAUAACUGCCAAUUCAAAUUGUUUUCAUUCAGUAUGAUUGUCAUUGAGGAAAUAAACGAGACUAGGAAGUGCCUUCUCCAAUGAAUUCACAUACUUAUGGAUCUUUCUCGCCAAUUAGCAGUGUUUCAAUUAAGUAGGAUUGUUGUCAUGAUAUAUGAAUAUUUUUUUAACAUGUGUAAGGAGGGUAAUGCACGGAUUCCACUUCUUGGGUCAAGAUAAGAACAUGUUGUUUAGUAUGUCUACGUGGAUGGUGUGUUGUUAGAUGUCUACAUCGGUAUGUAGAAGGAAGUUUUGCAAUAACAAGGUAUUAUGUUACAACCUCUGAUUGGCAACGUUCCUCAAAUAUGCUGGUUGUUGUAUCCUUGGACAUAUAAAAGCUUUUUCCAUGAUUUUUCUUUCUGCGGUUUCAUAAACUGAACAAUCUUCACGAUGCACAAAGGACUUUUCAUCUUGAAAUUGUACUUCCAUUGAAACUUUAUCCUGCAACCAUAUAUCAUAAAGAGAAUGGUGGGAGAAUCCAGCUGACAUUCAGUUAGAAAUUGAAAAGGAAAAUAUAGCACCUCAAGGAGCCAGAAUAAAAUAAAUCGGAGAAUUGGAUGAGCCAAAGACAAGCAUAUUCAGAAAUAGAGAGUUUACCGGGAUUCUGGGAGAAAAUCUACAUGGCAUCAUGAGGAAAGAGGAGUUGAAGUACGGCAUGGGAUACUAAAUAGUGUAAAUUGUACUUCUAUUUUCUUCUUCAAUUGGAUCUUUCUCUAUGGACCAAUUUAUAUCGUAUACUGAAAUCAUGUUAUAUUAAGAAGUAUCAUGAUAGAGUUAGCUUGUCCAAUGAAUCGAUAUGUUUAACAAUGGGAAUUGGGAGGAUUAAUUAGUUGAAUUAAUGUUCUUCUUUUAA